AAAGAAAAUUGAUCGGUUAGGAAAACGUUUUGGCAUCAUCGAGAUAGGAAGUAGCUGCAAUGGCAACAAUGGCCAUCAGAUCCUUUACAUCGAAUCCCUGGCGAUGGAGUUGCGAUGGCUUCGCAACUGUGCUCGAGGCAAGGCGUGCAGCCAAAAUUCAGGAUUCAGAGAGGAUCCUUUCUCAUCAAACUUGUGCUAUAAUCAUCAAGAAAAAUUAUUAGUCUCGUGCUGUAUGUAUCUCUUUCUAUAUUAUAUGAGAAAGAUGUGUAUGGUUAGGGGUGUGCAACAGUUAUGGCGGGUAGGUAAAUGCGGUUAUUUACCCAUAGCCGUUUAAGCUUUUACCCACAUAACCUUUUACCCGUUGGAUAUUUACAUAAACGGGUAUAUUCAUACCCAUAACCGUUUAUAAACGAUUAA
rnacentral:lncRNA from 1 species